rnacentral:rRNA from 1 species
GGGUAGUAAAGUUUUUUAAACCUAAAGAAUUUGGCGGUACUUUAUUCUUACUAGAGGAACCUGCUCUUGGAUCGAUAAUCCACGUUUAAAUGUACAUGCUUUGGUUUUCAGUUUGUAUACCGCCGUUGUCAGAUUAUUUUUAAAAAAUAUAAUCUAAUCAGUAGUUAAUUGGGACUUCAGGUCAAGGUGCAGCUUAUAAGCAUGGGAGUAGUGGGUUACAAUAAAUUAAAAUUAUACGGAUUAAUAAAUGUGAUGUUGAUUAUGAAGGUGGAUUUAGUAGUAAAUUAAGAAUAAAAUUCUUUUUUGAAAUGAGCUCUGAA